rnacentral:rRNA from 1 species
GACGAACGCUGGCGGCGUGCCUAAUACAUGCAAGUCGAGCGCAGGAAAUCAUCCGAACCCUUCGGGGGGACGUUGAUGGAAUGAGCGGCGGACGGGUGAGUAACACGUAAAGAACCUGCCCUCAGGUCUGGGAUAACCACGAGAAAUCGGGGCUAAUACCGGAUGGGUCAUCGGACCGCAUGGUCCAAGGAUGAAAGGCGCUUCGGCGGCGCCGGGGGACGGCUUUGCGGUGCAUUAGCUAGUUGGUGGGGUAAUGGCCCACCAAGGCGACGAUGCAUAGCCGACCUGAGAGGGUGAUCGGCCACACUGGGACUGAGACACGGCCCAGACUCCUACGGGAGGCAGCAGUAGGGAAUCUUCCACAAUGGACGAAAGUCUGAUGGAGCAACGCCGCGUGAACGAUGAAGGCCUUCGGGUCGUAAAGUUCUGUUGUAAGGGAAGAACAAGUGCCGCAGGCAAUGGCGGCACCUUGACGGUACCUUGCGAGAAAGCCACGGCUAACUACGUGCCAGCCGCCGCCGUAA